rnacentral:rRNA from 1 species
ACACAAGAGCAUUUCUGGAAAGAUUAAAAGAAAAAGAAGGAACUCGGCAAAUCCAGGCCUCGCCUGUUUACCAAAAACAUCGCCUCUUGACUUCCAUAAGAGGUCCAGCCUGCCCAGUGAUACUAUUAAACGGCCGCGGUACCCUGACCGUGCGAAGGUAGCAUAAUAACUUGUUCUUUAAAUGGGGACUAGCAUGAACGGCAUCACGAGGGUCUCACUGUCUCCUUUUUCUAAUCAGUGAAACUGAUCUCCCCGUGAAGAAGCGGGGAUAAAAGUAUAAGACGAGAAGACCCCAUGGAGCUUUAAACCCAAUAGACACCUCUGACUAAUCUAACCCAAAACACUUCUUAAGUUCUGUCUAUUGGUUUUAGGUUGGGGUGACCACGGAGUACAAUAAAUCCUCCAUGACGUACGGGACUUCCCUCUUAUCCUUGAACCACAUUUCUAAGAAUCAACAAAUUGACGUUUGAUGAUCCAAUACAUUGAUCAACGGACCAAGUUACCCUGGGGAUAACAGCGCAAUCCAUUUUAAGAGCCCCUAUCGCCAAAUGGGUUUACGACCUCGAUGUUGGAUCAGGGUAUCCUAGUGGUGCAGCCGCUACUAAUGGUUUGUUUGUUCAACAAUUAAA